rnacentral:lncRNA from 1 species
AGAACCUAAAAAAACUGGAAGAAACAAAAUACUACUCAGCUGUAAAGAGUGUUUGUUAUUUAAACGGUAGCCUAUUUCCUCUCUAAAGGUAGACAAACUGUGCACAAAAGGUGUCAUCACUCAGAAGGUUCUCAUGCUGGAGGAGCUGGAGGAAACACACAUGCAGCAGAAACGACACCUUGACCUGGCCAGCGAUCCAGGCAGACAGUUCACACACACAGAUAUGGCUCGGUUGCUGGAGGACUCGUACACAGAACAUCAUAACCCACAGCCCACUACCCUGCCACCUGAUUCAAGGCAGUCUACUGAUGAGACCAAAACCCAGUCCUUUUCAGAUACCUUCCGGUCUUCAAGCCCAGCUACAGGAGAUUCUAUUACUACACCACAGGGACACCUCUCCAUUGAAUUCCAUGUCUAAUUACACAAACAAAGAGGAUCAACUUCUCCUUCAGGCAUGUGUCAACAAGAAGGAUCUACUGUACACACAAUUGUUCUCUGGACAGUUACGAUAAUUUAAGAUGGCAUAAAUCAUGAAAAACAAUCUCAUUAAAAAAAAUCUUAAGUAAUAUUUGAAUAAAUGGACUGUACCAGCAAAGCAAUAGUUAAAACUGCAUGGGAUUUAUUUAUAAAAGAGAUUAAUAAGAAGACAUUUUAAAAUAUCAUUAGCCAAUAAGCAUGAGUCAUAACAGUGGAAACCGUAAAAUGUAUUAAUACAGAAUAUCAAGGAACAUACCGUUGGUUAAAAAAAGUCUUCCUCUUGAUUGUUUUUAAGGCAAAAGAUGUGGUCCCAAAUUACUUAUUGUAAACACAAUGCUAACACUUCAAUUAUGAGUAGUAGUCAGUAAUAAGUAAAAGUAAUAAGUGUACAAAAACUAUGAAUAUCCUGUUUUAAACUGAUUCCUGUAUUAAUGAUGAUAAUACUAGAGGUGCUUAGAAGUAUACUUUCUGCAUUGUUAGUGUUUUUCUGGUGAUUGUUUUGGGGCAUUAAUCUGUAGAUCCUUCCACUGUAGAAUUUGCUUAGACAGCUCUUCCACAUCUGAUACCAAAGACAGAAGCCGAGUGAGAGCAUUAUCCUGUGGGGGAGAAAAAAAGGAUUCCUACUUAUAUCAACAUUCAGUGACAAACAUUGUUAAGGCUCUACCUAAAUUGUUGUAUAAAUAUACUCUACUGGAAGCAAAGAAGGAAAAAUACAGAAAAGGUAAUUAUAUUUAUUAAAUAAGUGCAUUCAUUUUUAAAAACUUCAACUGAAUUAUUUUCAGAAAAUUAAUUAAGACAACUUUAAGUAAUGUAAAACCUCUGUAACAUUAAGGAUUUUUACUAUGCUUUUGUUUUCACAGAAAAUAAUCUUGGGGAAACUUGUUUGCAAAACAGCCUCUGUGAUUAGAAUUGUUUUUCAAACUGUACUUCCUUAUAAUACGUUAAUAGUUCCCCAAAAGUUCUUCUGUAUUUCAGAACACCUUUAUAGAUUAAAAACAAGCCAAAUUCCACUACUCUCAACGUUACAAUUAAAUAGCAAAUGUGUGACUUGCUAUCAACAUCACAUCAGUCUCACCAUUUGUAUGCAUAUCUGUAUUAACUGACUGUUUUUGUCCUAAUGUGUCUUUGCAGAAAAGAGAAAAGUGGAGUAUAGUUAAAUAUGCUUAGUUUUGUCCUGCUUUCCAAAAGAUUGGUUGUCUCACUAAAUGUAGAAUACAAGGUACCACAUCCAAGAUUCUGAGUGAUCAAAAUGCAUGGAUAUUUUGUCAAUUUGGGGUUCCAGAGAGAAGUCAGGAAAAACAAACAUUGCAAAUCCCAUCAUCUGACAUCAUGCAUCGACAGGUGAACAUCAAGCACAGAGAUUCUAUAUCAUGCAGAGUUACUGUUUGCUCAAGUUGCAUCAUGCAUUUUACAAUAAGAAAUGUACAUUGCAAAAUAUUUAAUAAUAAUAAUUCCUUAGUUUAUAUAGCUCUUUCCUGGACAAUCCACUCAAAGCGUACAGUGUGCCAGUACGCUCCCUUCACACCAGCUAUAUGAAAUCACAAACUUAGCAGGGCCCUAGCUGUUAUGCUUUUCACUCCCCUUUGGAUUUUUGUCUUCACUUUUGCAAUGCUGCAGCUAUAAAUGAAUUCCUGAUGGUGAUACUUGUUAUUUUAGAAUACAAACAUAUUUAACACACUGAUGUCUU